AUACAUGCAAGUCGAGCGAGGCAGCAAUGCCGAGCGGCGAACGGGUGAGUAACGCGUAAGCAAUCUGCCCCAUAUCAGGAAAUAACCCGUGCCAACGCGCGGUUAAUGUCCAGGAGAGUGGCCCUCUGCAUGGAGGGUUGACUAGAGAUUUAUCGGUAUGGGAUGAGCUUGCGUCCGAUUAGCUAGUGGCGGGGCAACGGCCCACCAAGGCGACGAUCGGUAGCCGGCCUGAGAGGGUGAUCGGCCACAUUGGGACUGAGAUACGGCCCAGACUCCUACGGGAGGCAGCAGUAGGGAAUAUUGCACAAUGGGGGAAACCCUGAUGCAGCAACGCCACGUGUGGGAAGAAGCAUUUCGGUGUGUAAACCACUGUCAUGAGGGAAUAAGGCCCUUAUUCGUAAGGGACUUGAAUGUACCUUGAGAGGAAGCACCGGCAAACUUCGUGCCAGCCGCCGC
rnacentral:rRNA from 1 species